GACGAACCGUGCGAACGUUAUUCGGAAUCACUGGGCUUAAAGCGCGUGUAGGCGGCCCGGCACGUCAUUGGCUGAAAUCCCCCGGCUCAACCGGGGAAGGGCCGUGAUACGACCGGGCUGGAGGGGGUAGGGGGACGGGAACUCACGGUGGAGCGGUGAAAUGCGUUGAGAUCGUGAGGAACGCCCGUGGCGAAAGCGCGUCCCUGGACCCCACCUGACGCUGAGACGCGAAAGCCAGGGAGCGAACGGG
rnacentral:rRNA from 1 species